rnacentral:misc_RNA from 1 species
AUGACUUGUUCAUCCAAAAAGGAGUUGUUCCUCAGGUUAUGUAACCCCCAUUUAAUUGAUGAUGGAAGAAAGAUAAUCUCCUUAGAGAAAUCAACAGGGAAGAAAAGCUACGUGUUGAGUUCAAGGGAGCUUUCAAUUUCUUGGGCUACCAAUCCUCUCUAGUGGUCCUGGAAACCUCACCAGCAAUCAAGAUUCCGAGAAGUUGUUGAACUCAGAACCAUUUGUUGGCUACAAAUCAAUGGCAAGUUCAAUACCCAGAUGCUAUCUCCAAGAACUGAUUAUGGAGUCUAUCUCAUUUUCAAAUUUGCUGAUAGGGCUUAUGGACUAGACACUUUACCAUCAGAGGUAUCAGUUCAAGUUGGCAACUUCAAAACGCAAGGCAAAGUCUAUUUACGCCGCCAAGACAAGAGCAAACAAUCUGUAGAGAGUGUUUGCUUUCUGAACCGGAUGACAGCGCCAAGAUCAAGAACCCAAGGAAGAGAUGGAAGCACGAGCUACAGUAAUGCACCUUGUGACCGUGAAGAUGGGUGGACAGAGAUUGAAUUGGGUAGUUUUUAUAAUCAGGGAGGAGCAAACAAUGAGGUGGAGAUGGGCUUAAAGGAGGUGACUGGUGAGCACUUGAAAGGUGGCCUCAUUGUUGAGGGGAUUGAGAUUAGGCCCAACUCCUGAGUGGUAGAUUUAUAAUUAAAGGAAAAUUUUAGGGGUAUAGUUGAAAAUACGGUACUAUUAAGCCCUAACCCUAGCUACAAUUUGCCUCUUCAUAUACCCUGUCCCCUGUUUCUCCUUCUUCGUCUACUUGCACGUUCUUCCUGCUACAGCUCUUUAUAUAUCUAGCUCACAUACUGCUUUCAAUUCAAUUCUUUUGCUUUCGAUUCGAAUAAAAAUGUUCUGUUAUUGAAUCCUUUUCUUCUUCUUUUGGCUAGGAUGAUAAAUGUUUUAAUUCCAGCUCAUUAUGAGACCUUUUUCAAGGUCUGGGAAUUGAAUCUAUCCAACAUUUAUCUGAGCCCGUGUUAUGAUUGUUGGUUUAUUCUUUGUUGAUAUUUUCAGACACUUAGAUUUAAUUUGAAUAGAUUUGGUGAUGGGUAAGUUUCUUUGCUUCUGAAUUGAGAAACUGUACUAAUUUCAGAAAUGGUGAUGGAUGAAAUAUAUUUUUGGCUGCGUAUUAGCAUCUGGGUGUACAAAGAUUCAUAUAAAUAAGAGGUAAUUCCCAACUCUGUUGAUUGUUGCAUUAUAGAUCCUACAUUGACAGAUUUUUGGUCUAUUUUGAACAUAACAAACCAAAGUCGAUUUAGCAGUAAUGAAGUUGUACAUUCCCUAGGAUGAUAGAUCAAGCUAUGUAUUCUGAGGAAUUCAUAAUUGAAAAUAUGUAUAAUCACUCUUUGGAGGAUGUUGUUGGCCUUUAUGUAUUAUAUGUUAAUUUAAUUAUUAAACUAAGAUCAAGUUUAAGGGGGUGUUGAAGAAACGUUCCCCAUGAUGCAUUGCUUCUUCUUGAACCAUGCUAAUGCUGAUCAUUACAUGACUGAAAUUCUUCUCUACUUUCUGAGGGAACAAAGUUUCAUUGUUCAUUUUGCUUGAUCCCAUUUUAUUUAAUGACUUUGAAGGCUUAAUUGGCCAUAUUCUGCCCCUUUUUGGAUUCUGGAGUAUAAUUUUGACCAACCUGAAUGUAGUAGCUAUAAGAGAAAUCGUUAGCAAUGUUUAGAUUAUUUUUCUUUUUUUUUAACUGGAUAAUCUUUCAUUCGUUGUUGAAAAAAGGUUAAAAAGAUCCAAAAGACUCGUUGGAAUCCAACUUUAAGUGGGCAUGAUAUAGGAGAACAAAAAGCAAAAACUCAGUAACGCAUAAACAAAGAGCAAUGAGACUGAGAGCAUGAAGCAAGCAACUUCAUAUAGAAAGGUCGAUUUGCACCCUGAAGUUUGGAACCAUGAAGCCCUAAGAGCCGUCAGAUGACACCAGGAGAGAGAAACAUUGAUUAGAACACUCCAUUAUGUAUUUAUAUAUAAAAUGGAUAUUUCGAUUUUAGGAGGCUGUUUGAGAGAGAAUAGGAAUAGGAGAGUAGGGUCUGUUUAGAUGGGUGAGUAAAAGUAAAAGGUCAGUAAUAAAAGAGUAAAUUUAAG